CUCUCUCUCUCUCUCUCUCUCUCUCUCUAUUUCUUAUCUGUUUUUUUGUUAUUUUAUUUGAUAUUUCUUUUGCUCCAUUCCAUUUCCUUUUCCUUCUUCUCCACAUGAUUCUUUUCCCUCUCACUCUCUCUUUCUCUAGGAUCCAUUUCCCUCUUACAAUAGGAGCUCUUAAAUUCUUCCAGCAACUUCUUCCCUCUCCCAGCGACUUUUCUUUCUCAUCUUCACGGCUUUGGUUAUCUACAGAACUUAUUAGUAGGGCAAACGGUGGUUGGAACCUAUGCCAUGUCAACACAACCCCUUUUUGCAAUCUUUCCUCAAACCUAUCCUCACUCACGAUACGUGUUCUUAGGGAAGAUAACAAACCAACCACAGCAGGGGAAAGAUGGGCGCAUCACUUCACAGGUCUUCAAAAAGACAGGCAAUACAGUUAAAACCUCCAUACCUUAUGGAAGGUUGAGUGAAAUCCUUUAAUGAGUACAUAGAAGAAGGAAUUAAGCAGAUAACCUUGAAGAACUAUACAAGAAAAUUUAUGUUGUUGUCUAUGCUGAUCCCACGGUGAAGAAAUCUGAUAAGGAACCACCCAAGGGCACUAUAAACGUUUAUGACAUGAUUGAAGAAUUAAUCAACAAGGGGUAUGAACGUCGAAAUAACGCAGCUGCAAUGCAAACUCUUAUUACUAAUUGGUUGGAAAAUAUCAUGCAAGAGCGCUCAAAUAAUGGUAGAGGCUUAUGUGUUAUUCCAUUGAACUUAUACGAGUUUCAAAUUGUUGGCUAUGGCAUGUUUGUUGGAGUAGUCAACUUAGAAAAUAAGACAUGCUCAUGCAAGGAAUUCGACAUUGAUGGAUUUCCUUGUGUCCAUGCAAUUGAAGCAUGUAAGCAUCGACAUAUUUCUCCAUAUAUCCUUUGCUCGGUGUAUUACUAAGUUGACUCACUCUGUGAUGCAUAUUCGGAAACCAUAUAUCCACUUGAAGAUAAAUGUCAGUGGCAUGCUCGAGAUGAUGUCAUAAACCAGCUUGUACUUCCACCUAAGAUUGGCAAACAGUCAGGAAGACCAAGAAAGAAAAGGAUUCAAU